rnacentral:rRNA from 1 species
AUUGAACGCUGGCGGCAGGCCUAACACAUGCAAGUCGAGCGGAUGACGGGAGCUUGCUCCUUGAUUCAGCGGCGGACGGGUGAGUAAUGCCUAGGAAUCUGCCUGGUAGUGGGGGACAACGUCUCGAAAGGAACGCUAAUACCGCAUACGUCCUACGGGAGAAAGCAGGGGACCUUCGGGCCUUGCGCUAUCAGAUGAGCCUAGGUCGGAUUAGCGAGUUGGUGGGGUAAUGGCUCACCAAGGCGACGAUCCGUAACUGGUCUGAGAGGAUGAGCAGUCACACUGGAACUGAUACACGGUCCAGGCUCCUACGGGAGGCAGCAGUGGGUAAUAUUGGACAAUGGGCGAAAGCCUGUUCCAGCCAUGCCGCGUGUGUGAAGAAGGUCUUCGGAUUGUAAAGCACUUUAAGUUGGGAGGAAGGGCAGUAAGCUAAUACCUUGCUGUUUCGACGUUACCGACAGAAUAAGCACCGGCUAACUCUGUGCCAGCCGCCGCAGUAACAC